CUCCUCAAUGAUAGAUUGUGGCCAAAACAAUAGGAUGUCACUUUCAGCACUGAGUCACAAAGCGUGGGCUUGCUUGUCCUCCACCCCUCUCCCUGGUGGGCUCUGAGGAAAGCCAACGGCCGCAUUGUAGGGGUGCCUUGCAGGAGCCCGACGUGGCAAGGAAGAAGGGAGGCCCUGGGCCUUACGACGACACCACAGCCUCGCUGACCCUUGGCAGUAGCCCUGAGACACAGGACCCGGCUCAGCAGCACCCAGAUCCCUGACCCACAGAAAGAGCAAGACGAUCAGUGUCUGUUGUUUUAAACUCUUCAAGUUUGGGGGGUAAUUUGUGACGCAGCUGUAGAUAACAAAUACACCUUCUCUCACUUCUGCCCCCGUCACUCUGUCCCCUGACCCGGCUUUACUUUUCUUUGUUUCUUUGUUAGUUUGUUUUGAGACAGAGUCUCACUCUGUUGCCCGGGCUGGAGUGCAGUGCGACAAUCUCGACUCACUACAACCUCCGCCUCCCGGGUUCAAGCGAUUCUCCUGCCUCAGCCUCCUGAGUAGCUGGGAUUGCAGGCACGCGCCACCACGCCCGGCUAAUUUUGUAUUUUUCGUAGAGACGGGGUUUCUCCAUGUUGGUCAAGCUGGUCUCAAACUCCUGACCUCAGGUGAUCUGCCCGCCUCGGCCUCCCAAAGUGCUGGGAUUACAGGCGUGAGCCACCGCGCCCAGCCUCCGGCUUUACUUUUCUUUGCAGCAUUUUGUGGAAGGGAACCUCCCUUACUCCUCUCAGUGUCCCCAGUGCCAGCCUGAUGCCUGGAUCCACGCAGGUACUCAGUGAUGACACUGAAUGAAUGAAUGGGUGAAGAAAUGCAAGUCCUCAGAAAGAAAAUGCCAGAGCUCAGAAAAGCCAGAAGUAGGGGGCUCAGGAUGGGGAGGCCAGCUAACCCCAAUCCCAGCUGCCCCAGGGGUCACUACCCACUUUACGCAGGGCCUGGGGACGCUGGUCCCCCACCUCUUCAGCACGAUGUUGCCCUGACCCUAGAACCUUGGUCCUGGUGGUCAGGCCCCAAGGGUCAGGCUCUUCGGGUCCCCUUGGGGAACUGGUCCCAGCCUCAUGCUUUGCCCAGACCAUACAAUUUGGAUUGUCCUAUGCCUGCUGGACUUCAGGCCUAUUUUCUCCAUUUGGUGUGGAGAUUUGCUAAAUGCCUCAUUUAGAGUGAGCUCAUUUUAUGCCCUUGUCAGUCUUUUCAUGAAAAUAUUUCGAUAAGAAAAGAAUGCUAUUCCAGCCCACGUGUCCUGAUUUUUGUUUGGAAAACAAUCCCUGUGCCCAUAAAAAGGAAAGGACUGCUGAGUCCAGUCCCCUCCUGGCCCUGUCCCUAAUGGGGCCCAGGCUGUGCCAGGGAUCCAGAGGCUAAAGCACAUUCCAGCAAAAACACUGGCCCCCGCUUGGAACCCAGAGCCCAGUCUGGGUCCGGCAAGGGGCUGGCCCUGUGCCCACCUAACUGAGCCAUUUCCUUCCAGACUGGGGCACAUUUCCUGCCCGGAGGGAACAGAGCACAUUCCCAGGCGGCAUGGACUGGGUCCUGCAUUGGGGGAGGGGAUUCCGUAGGCAUUUUCCCAACCCCAGCGACCACGCCCUGGGAUGAGAGGCCUGUCCUGGUGGUAGGGCUAGGAGCACGGUUCAAAGGGUGCUGCUGGAGCUGUCCAAGGGGUGGCCAUUCUUCGGGGAAUGAGCUGAAACCACCCGGCCCUGCCUUGGGUGCAGCCUGCUCUGUAUCCCAGGUGUGCUGAGCGUAGAGCGAGAAGGAUCCUUGAGUCACCCCUGCCUGCUCCCAAGCAGCAGUCUUCGGGAGGAGAUCAGGACCCAGACGCACAUCGAGGGACCACCAUGUGCAGACACAGAGAGAAAGCAGCAUCUGCAAGCCAUGGACAGAGGCCUCAGAAGAAACCAGCCCACUGACACCUUGGUCUCCAGCAUCCAGCCUCCAGAACUGUGAGAAAAUACAUUUCUAUUGUCUA
rnacentral:lncRNA from 1 species